CAGCAGCCGCGGUUAUACGGAGCGAUCCGAGCGUUAUCCGGAAUUAUUGGGUUUAAAGGGUUCGUAGGCGGUUUAGUAGUCAGUGGUGUAUCUUGCAGCUUCAACUGUAAAAUUGCCGUUGAUACUGCUAUACUUGUAAUAGUAUGGAAGUAAUUAGUAUAUGUAGUGUAGCGGUGAGAUGCUUAGAUAUUACAUGGAAUACCAAUUGCGAAGGCAGAUUACUACGUACUUAUUGACGCUGAUGAACGAAAGCGUGGGUAGCGCAACAGGAUUAGAUACCCUGAGUAGUCCACGCCGUAAACGAUGGAUACUAGCUGUUCGGUCUUCGGAUUGAGUGGCUAAGCGAAAGUGAUAAGUAUCCCACCUGGGGAGUA
rnacentral:rRNA from 1 species